AAAACUUGAGAGUAGUUGCCCUUUGUUUACUUAGCAUUUGACAACUCGGAUUUUGCAAAAUGGUUGAAGAAUAAGUUAUUGUUGUAUCUUUUCUUAAUAAAAGCAUUCGAUGAUUACCGUUAUUAGUUUAAGCAUUUAUUGUUGUGUUUCUUUACAAAUGACUUUAUGUUAAACUCAUUCUAUUUUGUGUCGACGUGUACUAAUCGAUGACUUUAAGUGCAGACUGAUUUACCCCACCCGCUAAUGUUGAACUUGUAGUUGUUCUACUUCCAAAUGUUAUGACUGAACAAUACUUUACCUCGAAAUUGUUGAUUAUAACAUCGUGAUCAUGAAAAUGAAUAUGACAUCAUGAUAUUGUUUGUGUUUGCUAUUUUUAAACAAGUUAUUGUAUUGGUGAGUUAAGUAGAUGCUGAGUAAUGGUACCUUAUGUAUUUAAUAAUUGUAGAAAAAUCACCUUAAUUGUUUCUAUAUUGUUCUCAUUUGAUUACAAUGUUGUUCGAUUGGUCAUUGUCAGCUCGGAUACUACUUACCUGUACCCCGGGUACUCUUUAAGUAUACUUACAUGUAGAGCUAACCCUGUUACAGUUAAUAUACUUUAAUAUAGCCGGAAAUUUAAUGCUAAAUGGGUUGUUGUAGGCUUAAUUUUUUUAAUUAUGUUCACAUUAAUGUCAUUUUUUUUCUCAAAUAGUCUUUAUAUCAUCGAAAUUUAUACUCAAAAAGCAUAUUGAUGCAGUUUUUUCAAAAGGUAAGUUUAAUUUAGAUAAACAAUAUGGCUUUACAUUUAUCUGUAGUGCACUGUACCACAUCGAAUUUUGGGCAAUAAUACAACUCCGGUACAGUCUAAUAAGGACCGGGUACGUUUAAGUAUAUAAACCUUACCCGAGGUACAUGCAAGUAUGCUUAAUGAUACCGGGGGUACAUGUAAGUAGUACCCAAGCUGUGAAUAACCAAUCGAGCGUGAGUAAAGUAAAUUGUACCUUAUGUCUUUAAUAAUUGCAGAACAAUUACCUUAAUUAUUUCUAUAUUGUUUCCAUUUGAUUACAAUUUAUUUAUUUGUCAAAUUCAAUUCUGCAGUGCUAUAAAUAUGCACCCCCCAUCCAAAAAAUUUAUUUCGUGCAUAUUGAUGGGGCUUUUUUAUUUAUUUACUCCCUUUUCUUCAUUCCUCCUUUUUGUGUUGGUAAUGUGAACAUGAAAUGAUGAGCACUUUCAUGUUAAUAAACUUUUAUUUUUUUUAUAGAUUUUGGCAUAUUGCAUAUUGCCAAGGGAGAUGUUUACUGAGGAUUCCAUGCCAUUAAUGUGCAGGCUGUUGCUGACGCCAGCAUGAGCAAUAUCUGAGCACCAAUCAUGAGGGUCAUCUGCUGGGAGAUAGUGGGUAUCCGUUAAGGACUAACCUGAUGACCCCUUAACCUCAUCCCUCCCAUUCUGCGGAACAGGCCUACAAUGACCAUCUAUGUAGAGGAUAUCUGCAUGCCACUGGUGGAUGUUGGCCUUUCAAGUCCAAUAAGUGCUGUGAAAUAUCAACUGUGUACAUGCCCCUGCAUAACCUGUGUCUGAAUUCAAACGUUCCACUGAUAGAGGAAUUGGUUGGAAAUGUGAUGGAACCGGAAGUUAUGAACAACACACCAGUACAUUGAGCAGCAUGUGAUAAGAGGCAGCAGCUGAUCAAACUGUUUCAUAAAAUGUGUUAAAAAUUUAUAGUUAUAAAUGUUAUAAAGUGAUAGAUGGCUCGAGUCUUCUCUGAAUAGGCAGAGCUACACUACUCAGCCAAAUGGCGUAAAGUUGUGUCAUAGCUGAUUUGGAAGGAUUGGUAUUCCUGGUCGUCUAGACACAAUAGUUACAACAGCUGAUGUUUGCAUGUUUUAUAAUUGUGUAUGCAUAAUUUGUCUAAUAUUUACUCAAGGUUAUAGGUUUGUGAAAGAAAAAAAUGUCAAUGUUCUGAGGACCAAUAAAAAAAGUCAUGUGUUAGGUAUUACCAAGUGCUUGAUUUAAUAUUUAUUUUAAAGGGAACUUUUCCUAAAUUUUGGCAGAUAUUCAAGUUUUUCAUUAAACGCUUUUAUAUUGAUACAUGUAAACACUGGAUCUAAAAAGCUCCAGUAAAAAAAGAAUACAAUUAAAGAAAGAUAAAAAGUAACUCCUACAGGGCUCAAACCACUGACCCCUGAAAUAAAAGCCUCACACUAAGACCACUUGUCCGUCCAUGUUGAUACAAUGAGUGAUGUAUUUUACACUUUAUAUAAGCAAUCCUUAUCGUGUCACAAAAUAUUACGACAACAACAGAACUCUACAAAUUAUUCAAUCGUCAAGUGUUGCAGCAGAUAGUUGCAACGCUUUAAAAUUUUCAAGUUUUUAAAUCGUCAAAAGUUGCAUAUAAUGGAUAUUUUAGAGCAUGGUAAAUGUUCAGUAUUACUGUUUCCUCACAAAUAUCAUAACUACAACAAAUGUUGCGAAUCUUAAACUUAUUUUUUUUAAUUUAGUCAAUUUACCAAAACUGGAAAAGGUCCCUUGAAUAUUGAACAGUUAUCUGAGCUCCAGAAAAGAUCAUAUACUCAAGGUACUUUUCCCCAUUAACAAUUAUUCAAGUGAUAUUUUACCCACUGACUUUCGCUCUAAAAGGUGUUCUCUGUAAUGAACAUUCUCAAAGCCACAUUAAAACAAGGGCUGUUAGUAAAACAUGCAUGCCCCCCAUUUGGGCUGUCAGUUGUAGUGGCAGUCAUUGUGUGAAUACGUUUUUUGUCACUGUGAACUUGACCUUUGACUUAGUGACCUGAAAAUCAAUAGGAGUCAUCUGCCAGACAUGAUCAAUGUACCUACGAAGUUUCAUAAUCCUAGCUGUUGGCAUUCUUGAGUUACCAUCCGGAAACCAUUUUACUAUU